rnacentral:misc_RNA from 2 species
AUGAAUAAACUUGGUCGAGUUGUUGCUGGUCCUUCGGGGCAUGUGCACGCUUGCCACUUUUAUAACCACCUGUGCACCUUUUGUAGACUGGAAACGUUCUCGAGGCAACUCGGAUUGAGGACUGCUGUGCGCAAGCCAGCUGUUCUUGUGUUUCUCAGUCUAUGUUUUUCAUAUACUCCAAAUGUAUGUAUCUGAAUGUAUUGCUAGGCCUCAGUGCCUUUAAAACAAAUA